rnacentral:lncRNA from 1 species
UCGAGGCGGAGAUCUUAGAUUUUUUCCUUGGCGUGCGGCUCCGUGGCAUAAGCGCGGUAGUUGGAGGAGCGGCGUCUGAUUGGGGCUGGUGCAGGGCGAGGACAGGGGCGUUUGGAGGGUCAGUGAGGGGGCCGCCCGGGUGACCUUCAGGGUCCCAGGGACCGUCAGUCUCCUCCGGGCUGCUUGAGACUCCCCGAGGA